rnacentral:rRNA from 1 species
UACAGAGGUCUCGAGCGUUAGGCGGAAUCACUGGGCUUAAAGCGCGUGUAGGCGGAUCGUUAAGUGCCUUGUGAAAUCCCACGGCUCAACCGUGGAACUGCUUGGCAUACUGGCGGUCUUGAGUCACCUAGGGGCCUGCGGAACAAACGGAGGAGCGGUGAAAUGCGUAGAUAUCGUUUGGAACGCCAACGGUGAAAACAGCAGGCUGGGGGUGUACUGACGCUGAGACGCGAAAGCCAGGGGAGCAAACGGG